rnacentral:rRNA from 1 species
UACGGAAGGGGCGAGCGUUGUUCGGAAUCAUUGGGCGUAAAGGGUGCGUAGGCGGGUCUUUAAGUCAGGGGUGAAAUCCUGGAGCUCAACUCCAGAACUGCCUUUGAUACUGAGGAUCUUGAGUUCGGGAGAGGUGAGUGGAACUGCGAGUGUAGAGGUGAAAUUCGUAGAUAUUCGCAAGAACACCAGUGGCGAAGGCGGCUCACUGGCCCGAUACUGACGCUGAGGCACGAAAGCGUGGGGAGCAAACAGGG